rnacentral:rRNA from 1 species
GACGAACGCUGGCGGCGUGCUUAACACAUGCAAGUCGAGCGGUAAGGCCCUUUCGGGGGUACACGAGCGGCGAACGGGUGAGUAACACGUGGGUGACCUGCCCUCAGCUCUGGGAUAAGCCUGGGAAACUGGGUCUAAUACUGGAUAUGACUCCACGGUGCAUGUCGUGGGGUGGAAAGCCUUGUGCGGCUGAGGAUGGGCCCGCGGCCUAUCAGCUUGUUGGUGGGGUGAUGGCCUACCAAGGCGACGACGGGUAGCCGGCCUGAGAGGGCGACCGGCCACACUGGGACUGAGACACGGCCCACGACUCCUACGGGAGGCAGCAGUGGGGAAUCUUGCGCAAUGGGCGAAAGCCUGACGCAGCGACGCCGCGUGAGGGAUGACGGCC